rnacentral:rRNA from 1 species
AUUGAACGCUAGCGGGAUGCUUUACACAUGCAAGUCGAACGGCAGCGCGGACUUCGGUCUGGCGGCGAGUGGCGAACGGGUGAGUAAUGUAUCGGAACGUGCCCAGUAGCGGGGGAUAACUACGCGAAAGCGUAGCUAAUACCGCAUACGCCCUACGGGGGAAAGCAGGGGAUCGUAAGACCUUGCACUAUUUGAGCGGCCGAUAUCGGAUUAGCUAGUUGGUGAGGUAACGGCUCACCAAGGCGACGAUCCGUAGCUGGUUUGAGAGGACGACCAGCCACACUGGGACUGAGACACGGCCCAGACUCCUACGGGAGGCAGCAGUGGGGAAUUUUGGACAAUGGGGGCAACCCUGAUCCAGCCAUCCCGCGUGUGCGAUGAAGGCCUUCGGGUUGUAAAGCACUUUUGGCAGGAAAGAAACGUCGCGGGCUAAUACACCGUGGAACUGACGGUACCUGCAGAGUAAGCACCGGCUAACUACGUG